CGUCACUCUGCUCUGUAAAACAAAGACCACUCCCUCCAACCUCCCAGCUGCUUUCUAUAAAGAUGGCUCCCUCAUCAGGAAGCAGCCUACAGGUCACAUGACCAUCCAGCAUGUUUCCAGGUCUGAUGAAGGCCUCUACAAGUGUGACAUCAGCGGUCAUGGAGAUUCUCCAUCCAGCUGGAUCACUGUCACAGGGGAACACACCACCACACCUCCACCUACAUCCACUCCGCCACCUACAUCUACACCACCUACAUCCACCUCUCCUCCCGCUUUCACCUCCAUCACUCUUCUUCUUCUUCUCUCUGUGUUGUCAUGUGUUGGGUCAGUCUGUGUUGUGGUUCUACUGGUGUUACUGGUUCUGCUGGUGAGACAAUGUGUUAACAGGAAACCUGAAGGUGAGACUGACUCAGACUUUUUGAUUUUAGAUUUGAAGUUCAUGUUAAUCUACAUGUUAAAGUGUUUAAAUUCAUCAUCAUUUGAUGGUUUUGCAUUGAUGUUUGAUCCCCAUGGAAGUAACUCAACAUGGUACAAAUCUACAAAUAUUUCUUUGUAUAUCGUGUUUUUAAAAUUAAAAUCCCAACUACAACUUUAGACAAUUUAAGUAAAAUAUGUUGGUGUUGAAUUUGGAUCAUUUCACCAGAUCAAGAUGAACCUGUAGAUGAUGACAUCACAUAUGGUGACAUCCAAAUAUCAAUCAAACGAACCAGAGACUUUAAACCACAGCCAGAGACCAUCUACUCUUCACUGAAGUAGUCCACCAGUCCAACCACUGACGUCCAGCUGCUGGUCUCUAACUGGUCCCCCCAGCACCUGAGACAAGAGGACAUCCACAAGUUAACUUUUCACUGAUUUAGAUUAAAAUGAUUCAAAACUUCAAAAACGAUAUGAGGAUAUUUUUAACUGAAAAUUUAAAUGUGUAUUUUGC
ensembl:lncRNA